rnacentral:rRNA from 1 species
ACAGAGGGGGCAAGCGUUAUUCGGAAUUAUUGGGCGUAAAGGGCGCGUAGGCGGUGUCUUAAGUGAGAUGUGUAAUCCCCGAGCUUAACUUGGGAACUGCAUCUCAGACUGGGGCGCUAGAGUACUGGAGAGGGUGGUAGAAUUCCACGUGGAGCGGUGCAGGGCGUAGAGAUGUGGAGGAAUCCCAGUGGCGAAGGCGGCCACCUGGACAGUACCUGACGCUUAGGCGCGAAACUGUGGGGAGCAAAAAG